rnacentral:rRNA from 1 species
GCAGUCGAACGAUGAACCGGUUGCGGCCGGGGAUUAGUGGCGAACGGGUGAGUAACACGUGCGCAAUCUGCCCUGCACUCUGGGAUAAGCCCGGGAAACUGGGUCUAAUACCGGAUACGACACUCCAAGGCAUCUUGGAGUGUGGAAAGUUCCGGCGGUGCAGGAUGAGCCCGCGGCCUAUCAGCUUGUUGGUGGGGUAAUGGCCUACCAAGGCGACGACGGGUAGCCGGCCUGUGAGGGUGACCGGCCACACUGGGACUGAGACACGGCCCAGACUCCUACGGGAGGCAGCAGUGGGGAAUAUUGCACAAUGGGCGAAAGCCUGAUGCAGCGACGCCGCGUGAGGGAUGACGGCCUUCGGGUUGUAAACCUCUUUCAGCAGGGAAGAAGCGAAAGUGACGGCACCUGCAGAUGAAGCACCGGCUAACUACGUGCCAGCAGCCGCGGUAAUACGUAGGGUGCGAGCGUUGUCCGGAAUUAUUGGGCGUAAAGAGCUCGUAGGCGGUUUGUCGCGUCCAUUGUGAAAGCCCGGGGCUUAACCCUGGGUCUGCAGUCGAUACGGGCAGGCUAGAGUUCGGCAGGGGAGACUGGAAUUCCUGGUGUAGCGGUGAAAUGCGCAGAUAUCAGGAGGAACACCGGUGGCGAAGGCGGGGUCUCUGGGCCGAUACUGACGCUGAGGAGCGAAAGCGUGGG